rnacentral:rRNA from 1 species
UACGUAGGGUGCAAGCGUUGUUCGGAAUUACUGGGCGUAAAGGGCUCGUAGGCGGCCAACUAAGUCGGACGUGAAAUCCCCGGGCUCAACCCGGGAACUGCGUCCGAUACUGGAAGGCUUGAAUCCGGGAGAGGGAUGCGGAAUUCCAGGUGUAGCGGUGAAAUGCGUAGAUAUCUGGAGGAACACCGGUGGCGAAGGCGGCAUCCUGGACCGGCAUUGACGCUGAGGCGCGAAAGCCAGGGGAGCAAACGGG